UACGUAGGGUGCGAGCGUUGUCCGGAAUUACUGGGCGUAAAGAGCUCGUAGGUGGUUUGUCGCGUUGUUCGUGAAAUCUCACGGCUUAACUGUGAGCGUGCGGGCGAUACGGGCAGACUAGAGUACUGCAGGGGAGACUGGAAUUCCUGGUGUAGCGGUGAAAUGCGCAGAUAUCAGGAGGAACACCGGUGGCGAAGGCGGGUCUCUGGGCAAUAACUGACGCUGAGGAGCGAAAGCGUGGGGAGCGAACAGG
rnacentral:rRNA from 1 species